UCUUGCUUCUUUUCUUAGCUGUCACAGAAAUAGCAGCAAUCAGGCUGCAUGGAGCUCACCUCAGCCGUCAGUCAGCCCGACCUGCACAGCUGCUCUCACAGACAGACGGUGAAAGAUGGAGGCUGAGAUAUGGGAAAGCUAGGUGGGGGAAGGAAAGACAAGACGAGCAAAGAGAAGUUAGGUUUUUGUGUGACGCUUUUUCACUGUGGGGGACAGGAGAGUGGUACUGAUGAGGCUCACUUUGGUGGAGGAACCAGAUUGACUGUUUUAGAAUCAAACCGUACUAUCACCCCGCCAAAAGUCAAAGUGCUUCCACCUUCACAAAAAGAGUGCCAAAACAGCAAAGACAAGAAAAACAAGAAGACCUUGGUGUGUCUGGGUUUUGGUUUCUACCCGGACCAUGUGAGUGUGUCCUGGCAGAUCGACGGGGUAAAUGUCACAGAUGGCGUGGCGACCGACAAUGCUGCUCUGUGGAAAGGGGAACAUUACAGCAUCACCAGCAGGCUGAGGGUCCCGCUCAGAAAGUGGUUUACACCAGGCAAGAGGUUCACCUGCACCGUCAACUUCUUCAAUGGAAACACAACUGUGCAACGUUCACAUUGGGUCGAAGGCGUUGAAGGACCAGGAGCUGGAGCAAUAAGAGAGAAAUAUUUGAGGAUCGUGCAAGCUGCCAAACUGUCCUACGCUCUUUUGAUCAUCAAGAGCAGCAUCUACGGAGCCUUUGUGGUGUUUUUGGUGUGGAGGCUUCAGGGCUCAUGUGGAAAACAGAACAACUGAGAGCUGCGCUGCACAAACCAGCUGAUUCUCCUGGAUUCUGUAAAUAAAACUUAAAAUGCAUGAAUGUUGAAUUGCAUUUUGCCUUCAAUGCUCAAUGAGCUAAUCACAUUCUGCACAAAUUAGAGCAACUUGCUUGAUUUAAACACGUGAAUAAUUUUAUAUCCAAUGUUGAUUGAUACUUAUCGAUGCUGUCUGUUUGUGUAAGUGCUUGUGAACUGCUUUAUGCUAAAUUUAAUUCUCAAUAAAAGAUUUUCAGAGGCGA